CANACCUCUAAUCGGAAAAGACUACCCGCUGAGUUUAAGCAUAUCAAUAAGCGGAGGAA
rnacentral:rRNA from 1 species